rnacentral:lncRNA from 1 species
AUGAUUCAGAACAUAAUAUGUUUCAGAAUGAUUCACAAUAUAUUUCAACCUGAUUUUCAUACUUGGUAUAAGGGAGGAAGGACUCUUACCAUGAUGUCUGUUGUGUUUCUGUGUUACUGGGCCAAGUCCCUACCUUACUGGGUUACUGGGCCAAGUCCCCACCUUACUGGGUUACUGGGUCAAGUCCCCACCUUACUGGGUUACUGGGUCAAGUCCCCACCUUACUGGGUUACUGGGUCAAGUCCCCACCUUACUGGGUUACUGGGACAAGUCCCCACCUUACUGGGUUACUGGGCCAAGUCCCCACCUUACUGGGUUACUGGGUUACUGGGCCAAGUCCCCACCUUAUGUGUUACUGGGUCAAGUCCCUACCUUACUGUGUUACUGGGUCAAGUUCCCACCUUACUGUGUUACAGGGUCAAGUCCCCACCUUACUUGGUUACUGGGUCAAGUCCCCACCUUACUGGGCUACUAGGUCAAGUCCCCACCUUACUUGGUUACUGGGUCAAGUCCCCACCUUACUGUGUUACUGGGUCAAGUCCCCACCUUACUGGGCUACUAGGUCAAGUCCCCACCUUACUUGGUUACUGGGUCAAGUCCCCACCUUACUGUGUUACUGGGUCAAGUCCCCACCUUACUGGGUUACUGGGCCAAGUCCCCACCUUACCAGGUUACUGGGUUAUUGGGCCAAGUCCCCACCUUACUGUGUUACUGGGUCAAGUCCCCACCUUACUGUGUUACUGGGUCAAGUCCCCACCUUACUGGGUUACUGGGACAAGUCCCCACCUUACUUGGUUAUUGGGCCAAGUCCCCACCUUACUGUGUUACUGGGUCAAGUCCCCACCUUACUGUGUUACUGGGUCAAGUCCCCACCUUACUGUGUUACUGGGUCAAGUCCCCACCUUACUGUGUUACUGGGUCAAGUCAACACCUUACUGUGUUACUGGGUCAAGUCCCCACCUUACUGUGUUACUGGGCCAAGUCCCCACCUUACUGUGUUACUGGGUCAAGUCCCCACCUUACUGUGUUACUGGGUCAAGUCCCCACCUUACUGUGUUACUGGGUCAAGUCCCCACCUUACUGUGUUACUGGGUCAAGUCAACACCUUGA